rnacentral:rRNA from 1 species
CUAAAGAUGGCGACCGGCGCACGGGUGAGUAACACGUAUCCAACCUGCCGAUAACUCGGGGAUAGCCUUUCGAAAGAAAGAUUAAUACCCGAUGGUAUAAUCAGACCGCAUGGUCUUGUUAUUAAAGAAUUUCGGUUAUCGAUGGGGAUGCGUUCCAUUAGGCAGUUGGUGAGGUAACGGCUCACCAAACCUUCGAUGGAUAGGGGUUCUGAGAGGAAGGUCCCCCACAUUGGAACUGAGACACGGUCCAA